rnacentral:lncRNA from 1 species
GGCAAAUAUGAUUUAAAAUGCAAUUAAACACAUAAUAGAAUUGCAUGAAACAACACUUUUACAGCAUUUUCAUUUUCAUAAACAGGAGUGAACAUUGUCUCUAGAGAAAAUUUACCAUUCCUUCAGCCACUUUAAGGAAAAUACAAAUAGAGCAAUUACUACAGAUAAAAUAGAAACAAAUAUAUCAUCAAGAUUCAGAAAACACAAUCACUGCCUUAGUGAGAAAUGUGAUUAAAACUUAUUUUUGCUUUAGCAACAGUCUCUAAGAAAAAUACAUACCUUAAAAAUGCUUGAUGUCUCUACU